AGCCCCGUAAUGUAGUGGUCAAUCAUGGCGGGUUCUGGUCCCGCCAACCCAGGUUCGAAUCCUGGCGGGGCUACCA
rnacentral:tRNA from 1 species